GACGAACGCUGGCGGCGUGCCUAAUACAUGCAAGUAGAACGCACAGUUUAUACCGUAGCUUGCUACACCAUACACUGUGAGUUGCGAACGGGUGAGUAACGCGUAGGUAACCUGCCUGGUAGCGGGGGAUAACUAUUGGAAACGAUAGCUAAUACCGCAUAAUAUUGAUUAUUGCAUGAUAAUUAAUUGAACGGUGCAAUUGCAUCACUACCAGAUGGACCUGCGUUGUAUUAGCUAGUAGGUGAGGUAACGGCUCACCUAGGCGACGAUACAUAGCCGACCUGAGAGGGUGAUCGGCCACACUGGGACUGAGACACGGCCCAGACUCCUACGGGAGGCAGCAGUAGGGAAUCUUCGGCAAUGGACGAAAGUCUGACCGAGCAACGCCGCGUGAGUGAAGAAGGUUUUCGGAUCGUAAAGCUCUGUUGUAAGAGAAGAACGGGUGUGAGAGUGGAAAGUUCACACUGUGACGGUAUCUUACCAGAAAGGGACGGCUAACUACGUG
rnacentral:rRNA from 1 species